rnacentral:rRNA from 1 species
GGGGAAUAUUGGACAAUGGGCGCAAGCCUGAUCCAGCCAUGCCGCGUGGGUGAAGAAGGCCUUCGGGUUGUAAAGCCCUUUUAUACAGGAAUAAAAAAGGGGACGUGUCCCUUAUUGCAUGUACUGUAUGAAUAAGCAUCGGCUAACUCCGUGCCAGCAGCCGCGGUAAUACGGAGGAUGCGAGCGUUAUCCGGAUUUAUUGGGUUUAAAGGGUGCGCAGGCGGGCUUUUAAGUCAGCGGUGAAAUCUCGGGGCUUAACUCCGAAACUGCCGUUGAAACUGGGAGUCUUGAGUAUGGAUGAAGUAGGCGGAAUUCGUUGUGUAGCGGUGACAUGCUUAGAUAUAACGAGGAACUCCGAUUGCGUAGGCAGCUUACUAAGCCAUAACUGACGCUCAAGCACGAAAGCGUGGGGAUCAAACA